AACGUAGGACGCAAGCGUUAUCCGGAGUUACUGGGCGUAAAGCGCGGGCAGGCGGCUCGUGAAGUCUGAUGUGAAAGCGCCCGGCUCAACCGGGCGAGGCCAUUGGAAACUCUCGGGCUGGAGGGCAGUAGAGGCAGGCGGAAUUCCGGGUGGAGUGGUGAAAUGCGUAGAGAUCCGGAGGAACACCAGUGGCGAAGGCGGCAUCCUGGACCGGUAUUGACGCUGAGGCGCGAAAGCCAGGGGAGCAAACGGG
rnacentral:rRNA from 1 species